GACGAACGCUGGCGGCGUGCCUAACACAUGCAAGUCGAGCGGAGAUGUACUGAAGAUUUAUCGGAUGUACAUCUUAGCGGCGGACGGGUGAGUAACACGUGAGUAGCUGUCCUAGGGAGGGGGAUAACGCCUGGAAACGGGUGCUAAAACCCCAUAAGCCUCGCAAGAGGUGAAAGUGUACUUGUUACAGCCUUAGGGUGUGCUCGCGGCCUAUCAGCUAGUUGGUGAGGUAAGGGCUCACCAAGGCUAAGACGGGUAGCCGGCCUGAGAGGGUGUACGGCCACACUGGAAUUGAGAUACGGUCCAGACUCCUACGGGAGGCAGCAGUGGGGAAUUUUGGGCAAUGGGCGAAAGCCUGACCCAGCGACGCCGCGUUGGGGAUGAAGUCCUUCGGGGCGUAAACCCAUGUUGUAGGGGAAGAAGAAAGUGACGGUACCCUACGAGAAAGCCCCGGCCAACUACGUG
rnacentral:rRNA from 1 species